UCCAACCUUUCGUCGGCACUCCACUUUAUGCCGCCGGAGGGAAAACAAAAGGAGGAACAAGGUCCGCUAUGGCUGGCGGUGCGGCAGUGUGGAGACCUGUCGUAAAGCGGCGCGCCCCGCAGGGGCGGUCGUGAGGGCGUUUUUGCGGAGGCAAAACGCUCGCAGUCAGGAAACAAUGGCA
rnacentral:ncRNA from 1 species